rnacentral:rRNA from 1 species
GUGAGUAGUUCAGAGUUUGAUCCUGGCUCAGGAUGAACGCUGGCGGCGUGCCUAACACAUGCAAGUCGAACGAAGCACCUUGAUUUCCUCGGAUUGAUAGGUGACUGAGUGGCGGACGGGUGAGUAACGCGUGGGUAACCUGCCCUGUACACACGGAUAACAUACCGAAAGGUAUGCUAAUACGAGAUAACAUACUUUUAUCGCAUGGUAGAAGUAUCAAAGCUCCGGCGGUACAGGAUGGACCCGCGUCUGAUUAGCUAGUUGGUAAGGUAACGGCUUACCAAGGCGACGAUCAGUAGCCGACCUGAGAGGGUGAUCGGCCACAUUGGAACUGAGACACGGUCCAA